rnacentral:SRP_RNA from 1 species
GGGUAAGUCCUGUGCGACCAGCUCCCUGCGAAUCCCCCAGGGCCGGAAGGCAGCAAGGGUAGCGGGUCGAGCGGUGCGACGCAGUCAGCUUACCCUUU